UAUAGGGAAUACAAAAAAAAACUGGUUCAAGACGAGAAAAAAAAAACUAGAUUUGAGGUAAUAACAUAAGACAAAUACAAGACAAUAGAUAGUUUAGGUGGUGUCUCAAAGUCAGAAGGAAACAGAGAGAGAGGUGGGUUCUACUUCUAUGUAUGCCUAUUCGAUAGAAGUAUCUAUAAACACUUGAAGCAACAA